GAUGAACGCUGGCGGCGUGCCUAAUACAUGCAAGUCGAGCGAACGGACGGGAAGCUUGCUUCUCUGAUGUUAGCGGCGGACGGGUGAGUAACACGUGGAUAACCUACCUAUAAGACUGGGAUAACUUCGGGAAACCGGCGCUAAUACCGGAUAAUAUUUUGAACCGCAUGGUUCAAAAGUGAAAGACGGUCUUGCUGUCACUUAUAGAUGGAUCCGCGCUGCAUUAGCUAGUUGGUAAGGUAACGGCUUACCAAGGCAACGAUGCAUAGCCGACCUGAGAGGGUGAUCGGCCACACUGGAACGGGGACGCGGUCCAGACUCCUAAGGGAGGCAGCAGUAGGGAAUCUUCCGCAAUGGGCGAAAGCCUGACGGAGCAACGCGGCGUGAGUGAUGAAGGUCUUCGGAUCGUAAAACUCUGUUAUUAGGGAAGAACAUAUGUGUAAGUAACUGUGCACAUCUUGACGGUACCUAAUCAGAAAGCCACGGCUAACUACGUG
rnacentral:rRNA from 1 species